GGGGUAAGAUUAAUAAUAAAAAAUAUAAUAAAAGAAAUUUUAAUAUUAAAAAUAAUUUAAUGGGGGUUAAAGUAUUUUUAAUAGAAAAAAUUUAAAUUUUUAUAGUUAAUUAGUAUUGUAAAAGAAUUUUGAAAUAUUUUGAAAAUUAAAUUUAUUUAAAAGUAAAUUUUAUUUAUUGUAUCUUGGGUAUCAGAGUUUAUUAAAAAUUUUUUAUAAUUUUUAAAUUUCUCGAAUUUAAAAGAGAUAAUUAAUUAAUAAAGUUAUUGUUGAAUAAAUAUUUUAAAUAAUUAAUUUGAAAUGAAAUGUUAAUCGUUUUUAAAUAUAUCUAGUUUUUUUAGAAUAAAAUUUAAUUUUAAAUUUAAGUUAAAAAUAAAUUUAUUAUUUAAUUUAUUUUAAUUUAAAUUUUAUAUUUUAAGGGAUAAGCUUUAAAUUAAAUUUUUAUAAUAUAAGUUAAGUUUUAUUUUUAAAAUUUUUAUAAUUUAUAUUGUUAAUAAAUUAUAUUUUUUUAUAAAUAAUUUUAUUUAUAAUUAAAAUUUAAUUUUAAAUUUAAUUUUUUAUAAAAAAUUAUUUUUUAAUAUAUAAAAAUUUAGAUAAUAUGAUAAAAUUAGUAUAUAAAUAAAAUUAUUAUAAAUGUUUAAUUAAAUUUAAUUUUAAAAUAAGUUAUUUUAAAGGAAUUCGGCAAAAUUUUAUAUUCACUUGUUUAUCAAAAACAUGUCUUUUUGUUUAUAAUUUAAAGUCUAAUCUGCCCACUGAUUUAAAUUAAAGGGCUGCAGUAUUUUGACUGUACAAAGGUAGCAUAAUCAUUAGUCUUUUAAUUGGAGACUUGUAUGAAAGAUUGGAUGAAAUAUAUACUGUCUCUAAAAUAUAUUAUUGAAUUUAAUUUUUUAAUUAAAAAGUUAAAAUAAUUUAAAAAGACGAGAAGACCCUAUAGAGUUUUAUAAUUUUUAGGAAUUAAAAUUAUUUAUAAAUUUUUAAUUAAAAUUAAUAGGAAUUAUUUUAUUGGGGUGAUAAAAAAAUUUACUAAACUUUUUUAAAAAUUUUUCAUAAAUAAGUGAGUAUAUGAUCCAAUUAUAUUGAUUAUAAGAUUAAAUUACCUUAGGGAUAACAGCGUAAUUUUUUUUUUUAGUUCAUAUAAAAAGAAAAGUUUGCGACCUCGAUGUUGGAUUAAGAUAAAAUUUGUAUGUAAAAGUACAAGGUUUUUGAUCUGUUCGAUCAUUAAAAUCUUACAUGAUCUGAGUUCAAACCGGUGUAAGCCAGGUUGGUUUCUAUCUUUUAAAAAUCAAAAUAUUUUAGUACGAAAGGAUCAAAUAUUUUAAUUAAAUUAUUUAAUUUUGAAUUUUAUUAAAGAAAAUAUAUUAAAUAAUAAUAAUAAUUAAUAAAUU
rnacentral:rRNA from 1 species